AGAAUCGAUACUUAGGACGUUCGGGCUUUAUUUUUUCAUUUCAUAGUGAUAUGGCGCCAAAGGUUCCGUUUCGGGAUAUUCCCGUAAAGUUUCAAUAAAAUGGAUUCUUCUUGUCAUGCGUUACGUACGAGAUAAAUAUGGUGCCGUUUUUCUUAAACUAAAACAUGUCUCAGAGAGUGAAGAAAUUGCCGUCUAAAGGCAAAUGUGAAGAUGGGACUCAUACAAUGAGUUCAAAAGGAAAGCGCAAACGCCUCCGAGUAGGUGGUGGGACCAAAACUAUUUGUGGGGGAACUGUUCUGUCAGGAGAUGACCAUUCACAGUCUCAUCCAGAUUCAGCCUCCAAAACACCAUGGACUCCUCGUUACCUUUCUGACCUAAAGAGCUCCAAUAUAUACAAUCGCAAUGCGAUUGAAGCACCUGCUG